AUGGCAGAAGCCUUAGCUCUCAAAUUUGGCCUAAUAUUGGCACAAAGGGCGGGGUGUAAUCGCCUAAUCAUCAACUCGGAUAAUGUGGAGGUGAUUGAGACCAUCCAGGACGGAGGACAAUCGGCGGGUGCAGCGGCAGCAAUUUUCGAUGACUGUUACCACUAUGCAUGUGAUUUUGUUAUAACUAGAUUUGAACAUUGUAAUAGAGAGGAAAAUAAAGUAGCUCAUGAACUCGCUAGAUUAGCUAGAUUUUCUUCGACUUCAGAUUGGUUUGAGGAGACUCUAAAUAAAAUUGUAAUGAUCCUCAUAAACGAUGUACUGGUUAUUUCUAAUGAAUAA
rnacentral:rRNA from 1 species